rnacentral:RNase_P_RNA from 1 species
GGGUUAGUACUUAGCUAACGGUCAGGCGGUUAAAUCCGCAGGCAACUAUGUUGUUUGACUGAGGAAAGUCCACCCACUAACGUGGCAACUUACGGAAGUAAGGCUCAGAAAUGGGCGGCUACAUCACAGAAACGAGACCACUUGUUAAGAGGAUGAUGCCUUUGAAGUUUUUGGUGACAAAAACAAGCUAACAGGCAGACGUUUUAACAAGAAAGGAUGAAACGGAUAGCCCUUGUCUGUGCAAGUUGGAUUUUACAACGCUUAGUUAAAUGCUAAGGAGGAGCAUCAAUCGCACAAGUUGCGGUUACCAAGGUUCCUACAAAAGGUGGCUUAUUCUGACCC